rnacentral:rRNA from 1 species
GGAAAGAGGAGUGGCGGACGGGUGAGUAACACGUGGGUAACCUACCCAUCAGAGGGGGAUAACACUUGGAAACAGGUGCUAAUACCGCAUAACAGUUUAUGCCGCAUGGCAUAAGAGUGAAAGGCGCUUUCGGGUGUCGCUGAUGGAUGGACCCGCGGUGCAUUAGCUAGUUGGUGAGGUAACGGCUCACCAAGGCCACGAUGCAUAGCCGACCUGAGAGGGUGAUCGGCCACACUGGGACUGAGACACGGCCCAGACUCCUACGGGAGGCAGCAGUAGGGAAUCUUCGGCAAUGGACGAAAGUCUGACCGAGCAACGCCGCGUGAGUGAAGAAGGUUUUCGGAUCGUAAAACUCUGUUGUUAGAGAAGAACAAGGACGUUAGUAACUGAACGUCCCCUGACGGUAUCUAACCAGAAAGCCACGGCUAACUACGUGCCAGCAGCCGCGGUAAUACGUAGGUGGCAAGCGUUGUCCGGAUUUAUUGGGCGUAAAGCGAGCGCAGGCGGUUUCUUAAGUCUGAUGUGAAAGCCCCCGGCUCAACCGGGGAGGGUCAUUGGAAACUGGGAGA